rnacentral:lncRNA from 1 species
UCCGGCCACGGAGACGUCUCCAUUCAUCAUUCCUUUCACUCUCACCACCGUCGCCCACUUGAAAUGGCCCCCGCUCCCCUCCCGUCACUUGCUCCUCACAGACGCGCCAGGGGAACAAACAACGGUCCUGGACUUAAAUUCCCUUCUCUGGAAUCAGAAAUAAGCAGCUCCGGCAGCAACUCGAAUGACUUCCAAAAAAAUCCCGUCAAACGAUCGAGAAAUGAAAAACAUCUCGAUGAAAAGUCAUAUAAUACAGUUUCAGCCAAAGCGAACCAAGACACCGGAGUGUUCCCAUCUCACCCCCCCCUGUUACACAACAGUAAUAAUGCUCAGACGGUGCCACUGCCGACUGUCAGGUACAAAUCUUAUUUUAACUCCAAUUCCAGCGUGGCCCUUUCUUAAUUUAAUCCAAGACAAGUGUCAAACAAAAGAAGAAUACAGGGAGUGAAAUAAAGGUGUGUGAUUUUUCCCCUUACAACCUGGCAUACGCGUGCUCUUUGGUGUUCACUGUAAAGCGUGCUGAAUGUUUUACUAUUCGCGGCAUCUUAUCCAAGUCACAAUGUCUCGGAGAGUUCUGCUUUGACAUUAGGGAGCCACACUUGAUCCCCAAUCCUCCACACGUCGUGAUGUUUGUUGUCCGCACGUGCCAAGGUCGGUCAUGACCUGUUGCAGCAUCUGGCAUAAGCAAAUACUGAGCAUAAGGGAUAAAAAAUGAACGGUAGAUGUUUUGGGGGGGGGGGUUUCCCCCAGGGCAAGGCCUCCGCAAUGGGUUUUUUAAACUAUUUUUAACUUGAGAAGCACUCCAGCCGAGAUUUUGGGACACACUUUCCCCUCAAACUAGGAUUAUAAUAUUUUGGAUUCCCAUGAAAAGCCCUUUGUCUUAACUACAGCAACGCUAAACACCACCACAACAAGGGGUUUUGUGAUGCUGUUACCACGGCACCGACAUAGGUUACGUCACCUCGCAGCUGGAAGCAGCAGUCGGCCGCCUGUUUGCUCUUCCAGCUGGCACCGGGCAGAGCCGCCGCGGCCUCCUGUCAGACGUCUCCGGCCACCUUGGCUGUUUGUUCGUGCACAAGCGCCGCCAACCCUGACCCGCCGCAGGACUUCAUGACCUCAUUCCCUUCCUAGCCGAGAGCUCUGCACUCGCACACUCCCCAGCCUCCUCCAGGUCAAUUCGAGAUUCAGUUGCUUCGCUCCGACUUGGUUUCAUCAGCCACAGUUUGAAGUGAUAGGUCACGGUCGACCGAGCACUGAAAGACUGUCAAGCUUGUGGAAUGUGGUCAGAGCUCAAUUCAACACACAACACAAUUCGAAAACUCCCGACUUAGCGUGUGCAUGUCUUGCUCAGAUGAAGAGAGAGCGUUCUGUUCCCAAGAAAGACGAAGUUUAAUAAAAAAAAACACUCAAUAUGUCAGUCAAGAUCCUCCUUCACACAUGCAACACUCCGCCUAUAUAUAAUAAAAUCAUGUUUCCUGUUCCAAAACGUCUCUACACUUACGGUUUCUACUCUUUCCGGCCCUGUAAGUUCACGACAUGCAUAUUUCAUACAAGUUGGGUGUUGUUGUGCUGUGUGCAAUUGUACUUUUCGUUUAGAUUUUG